GAGCCAGCAUUGCAUAGUGGUUUGUGCACUGGGCUAGAACUCGGGACACCAGGGUUUGAAUCCCUACUGGGUCA